AGUCCCGCCAUGGACAUGCUGUGUGCCACCCUCCUGCUGCUGACUAUGCCUUCCUGGGUCCUGUCAGAGGUGACCCUGACAAAGGCUGGACCAGGGCUGGUGAAACCCACCCAGACCCUCACACUGACCUGCAACUUCUCUGGGUUCUCCCUGAGCACCUCUGGAAUGGGUGUUAGUUGGAUCCACCAGUCUCCAGGGAAGGGCCUGGAGUGGGUUACAACCAUCUGGUGGAAUGAUGCUAAGUACUAUAGCUCAGGCCUGAAGAGCUGACUCACAAUUUCUAAGGACACCUCCACAAACCAGGUGGUCCUAACAAUGACCAGCAUGGACCCUGCAGACACAGCCAUGUAUUACUGUGCAC